rnacentral:rRNA from 1 species
UGAAUACUUCAGCAUGGAAUAAUAGAGUAGGACCUUGGUUCUAUUUUGUUGGUUUCGAGCCUUGGUAAUGGUUAAUAGGAACGGUUGGGGGCAUUCGUAUUUAACUGUCAGAGGUGAAAUUCUUAGAUUUGUUAAAGACGAACGGCUGCGAAAGCAUUUGCCAAGGACGUUUUCAUUAAUCAAGAACGAAAGUUAGGGGAUCGAAGACGAUCAGAUACCGUCGUAGUCCUAACCAUAAACUAUGCCGACUAGGGAUUGGAGGUCGUCAUUUUCCGACUCCUUCAGCACCUUGAGAGAAAUCAAAGUCUUUGGGUUUUGGGGGGAGUAUGGUCGCAAGUCUGAAACUUAAAGGAAUUGACGGAAGGGCACCACCAGGCGUGGAGCCUGCGGCUUAAUUUGACUCAACACGGGGAACCUCACCAGGUCCAGA